GUCCUCGUAGCUUAACCACCAAAGCAUGGCACUGAAGAUGCCAAGAUGGUCGUUGUCCAACUACCCGACGACA
rnacentral:tRNA from 1 species